rnacentral:rRNA from 1 species
UACGUAGGUGGCGAGCGUUAUCCGGAAUUAUUGGGCGUAAAGAGGGAGCAGGCGGCGGCAGAGGUCUGUGGUGAAAGACUGAAGCUUAACUUCAGUAAGCCAUAGAAACCGGGCUGCUAGAGUGCAGGAGAGGAUCGUGGAAUUCCAUGUGUAGCGGUGAAAUGCGUAGAUAUAUGGAGGAACACCAGUGGCGAAGGCGACGGUCUGGCCUGUAACUGACGCUCAUUCCCGAAAGCGUGGGGAGCAAACAGG